UACGGGGGGGGGCAAGCGUUGUUCGGAAUUACUGGGCGUAAAGGGCUCGUAGGCGGCCAACUAAGUCGGAUGUGAAAUCCCCAGGCUUAACUUGGGAACUGCAUCCGAUACUGGAUGGCUUGAAUCCGGGAGAGGGAUGCGGAAUUCCAGGUGUAGCGGUGAAAUGCGUAGAUAUCUGGAGGAACACCGGUGGCGAAGGCGGCAUCCUGGACCGACAUUGACGCUGAGGAGCGAAAGCGUGGGGAGCGAACAGG
rnacentral:rRNA from 1 species